UGGGGAAUUUUGGACAAUGGGCGAAAGCCUGAUCCAGCAAUGCCGCGUGUGUGAAGAAGGCCUUCGGGUUGUAAAGCACUUUUGUCCGGAAAGAAAUCCUUGGCUCUAAUACAGUCGGGGGAUGACGGUACCGGAAGAAUAAGCACCGGCUAACUACGUGCCAGCAGCCGCGGUAAUACGUAGGGUGCAAGCGUUAAUCGGAAUUACUGGGCGUAAAGCGUGCGCAGGCGGUUUGCUAAGACCGAUGUGAAAUCCCGGGCUCAACCUGGGAACUGCAUUGGUGACUGGCAGGCUAGAGUAUGGCAGAGGGGGGUAGAAUUCCACGUGUAGCAGUGAAAUGCGUAGAGAUGUGGAGGAAUACCGAUGGCGAAGGCAGCCCCCUGGGCCAAUACUGACGCUCAUGCACGAAAGCGUGGGGAGCAAACAGGAUUAGAUACCCUGGUAGUCCACGCCCUAAAACGAUGUCAACUAGUUGUUGGGGAUUCAUUUCCUAGUAACGUAGCUAACGCGUGAAGUUGACCGCCUGGGGAGUACGGUCGCAAGAUUAAAACUCAAAUGAAUUGACGGGGUCAUA
rnacentral:rRNA from 1 species